rnacentral:misc_RNA from 1 species
CCGAGUGAAAACUCCCAAACCCCUGUGAACAUACCACUGUUGCUUCGGCGGAAUCGCCCUCGCCUCGCGCGGGGGCCCGCCCGAGGACCCAAAAAUUCAAUUGUAUUCGACUUCAAAACGCAUUCUGAGUGGAUUCUACGAAUCAAAUCA